GGAGAGGUGCCAGAGUGGUCGAUCGGGCUCGCCUGGAAAGCGAGUGUGCCCUCACGGGUACCGAGGGUUCGAAUCCCUCCCUCUCCG
rnacentral:tRNA from 1 species